AACGAACGCUGGCGGCAUGCCUAACACAUGCAAGUCGAACGAGACCUUCGGGUCUAGUGGCGCACGGGUGCGUAACGCGUGGGAACCUGCCCUUAGGUUCGGAAUAACUCCCCGAAAGAGGUGCUAAUACCGGAUAAUGUCUUCGGACCAAAGAUUUAUCGCCUUUGGAUGGGCCCGCGUUGGAUUAGCUAGUUGGUAGGGUAAAAGCCUACCAAGGCGACGAUCCAUAGCUGGUCUGAGAGGAUGAUCAGCCACACUGGGACUGAGACACGGCCCAGACUCCUACGGGAGGCAGCAGUGGGGAAUAUUGGACAAUGGGCGAAAGCCUGAUCCAGCAAUGCCGCGUGAGUGAUGAAGGCCUUAGGGUUGUAAAGCUCUUUUACCCGGGAUGAUAAUGACAGUACCGGGAGAAUAAGCGCCGGCUAACUCCGUG
rnacentral:rRNA from 1 species